rnacentral:rRNA from 1 species
UACGUAGGGUGCGAGCGUUGUCCGGAAUUAUUGGGCGUAAAGGGCUCGUAGGCGGUUUGUCGCGUCGGGAGUGAAAACCCAGGGCUUAACUCUGGGCUUGCUUUCGAUACGGGCAGACUAGAGGCAUGCAGGGGAGAACGGAAUUCCUGGUGUAGCGGUGAAAUGCGCAGAUAUCAGGAGGAACACCGAUGGCGAAGGCACUCUACUGGGACUAUUACUGACACUCAGAGACGAAAGCUAGGGGAGCAAAUGGGA